rnacentral:rRNA from 1 species
AGUGAACGCUGGCGGUAGGCCUAACACAUGCAAGUCGAACGGCAGCACAGUAAGAGCUUGCUCUUACGGGUGGCGAGUGGCGGACGGGUGAGGAAUACAUCGGAAUCUACUUUUUCGUGGGGGAUAACGUAGGGAAACUUACGCUAAUACCGCAUACGACCUACGGGUGAAAGCAGGGGAUCUUCGGACCUUGCGCGAUUGAAUGAGCCGAUGUCGGAUUAGCUAGUUGGCGGGGUAAAGGCCCACCAAGGCGACGAUCCGUAGCUGGUCUGAGAGGAUGAUCAGCCACACUGGAACUGAGACACUGUCCAGACUCCUACGGGAGGCAGCAGUGGGGAAUAUUGGACAAUGGGCGCAAGCCUGAUCCAGCCAUACCGCGUGGGUGAAGAAGGCCUUCGGGUUGUAAAGCCCUUUUGUUGGGAAAGAAAAGCAGCAGGUUAAUACCCCGCUGUCCUGACGGUACCCAAAGAAUAAGCACCGGCUAACUUCGUG